rnacentral:lncRNA from 1 species
CUGUUGCAAUAUGUAAACAUAUAUAUAUAGAGAGAGAGAGAGAGUCCGGCUACUAUAUUCUUAUGAGUACGAUCGCAUUCGUACUCAUCAGUUGUUUUCGAUGAUAGAGUUUCUAAAUUGACGAUCCAUACUGUUAAAUAUUAUCUAGAGAAUUUAAAACUUAUAGAAAUCAAAUUUUAUAAUUUUUCGAUAUCAUUUACCUUACGAUCAAAAGCUCACAAAAUUGACAAUUUUUAACGGCCGAUAUGAGAUAUUUGCUAGUUUAACGGUGAAAAAAAAUCGGAAUAUAUAGGUUGAAUUUUUUAUAGAAAAUUCUAUUCACUACCUAAAUAAAGAUCAAUAACUCCGAUCUUAAAUUGAAGGAUCCGAUCAUCCAUUUUUAUUAUGUCGUUCGAUUUUAACCGUCAUUUUAUACCCGCUUGAUAGACUUUAUAAUGAUUUUGAAAAAUUACGAAAUUUAUUUUCUAGAAGUUUCAAAUACUCUAAAUUAUGUUUAACGGUGUGGAUCGUCGAUUC